UUUGUUAGUGUUUUUAGGUGGAUGUGUUAGUUAUCAUAUUACCAUGAUCCAGGCUUUACUGCUAUCAAUGGAUCAAUAGCUCCAGGGUUUGUUUGUUCUCGCUCAUGUCUCGUCUACAGAUGUGCGAAAAUUGCACCAAGUCGAUGAGAGAUGAUGGAGGAAUUAAUGUGAUUAAGAAAGCCAUCGAGAAGCUGGGCCUGCGACACAAGGAACACAUUUUUACAUAUGGAAAGGGCAAUGAAAGAAGAUUGAUGGGUCGUCAUGAAACUGCAGAUAUCCUCACAUUUUCUUGGGUAAGGAAAAUAAGUGGGUUUUUUUUUAUAAAAAAAAAAAAAAAAACUUGUAAAUGAAUACAUGAAUAUUGGGAAAAACUAGCUUAGCCAUUUUAUUUUCUUUUCAUUUUUCUCCAAAUCCAAAUAACUCAAUUAAGGUUGAGUGGUUAUUAAAAUUUUCAAAUGGUUUUGCUAUCAUACAACAUACACACUCAAUACUGGACUUUAAACAUUAUUCAUAUCUCAUCCAAAAUCUUCAUGGAACUUUAAUUAGGUCAA